AGCUCCAAUAGCGUAUAUUAAAGUUGCUGCAGUUAAAAAGCUCGUAGUUGCAUUUCCGAGGCAAGGGAUUAGUCCGACCUUUGGUGGGUAUUUAAUCCUCUUGCCUCGUCCUUGAGUGGUGCUUCUUGGUAUUAAGUUAUCGAGGAGAUAGCCGCUCAUCGUUUACUGUGAGAAAAUUAGAGUGUUCAAAGCAGGCUUAUGCCGUUGAAUAUAUUAGCAUGGAAUAAUAAGAUAGGACCUCGGUACUAUUUUGUUGGUUUGAGAACCAAGGUAAUGAUGAAUAGGGACAGUUGGGGGUAUUCGUAUUCAGUUGUCAGAGGUGAAAUUCUUGGAUUCAUGGAAGAUGAACUACUGCGAAAGCAUUUACCAAGGAUGUUUUCA
rnacentral:rRNA from 1 species